rnacentral:rRNA from 1 species
GACGAACGCUGGCGGCGCGCCUAACACAUGCAAGUCGGACGAGCGAGAGGAGGUUUACUUUCUCAAGCGAGUGGCGAACGGGUGAGUAACGCGUGAGGAACCUGCCUCAAAGAGGGGGACAACAGUUGGAAACGACUGCUAAUACCGCAUAAGCCCACGACCCGGCAUCGGGUAGAGGGAAAAGGAGCAAUCCGCUUUGAGAUGGCCUCGCGUCCGAUUAGCUAGUUGGUGAGGUAAUGGCCCACCAAGGCGACGAUCGGUAGCCGGACUGAGAGGUUGAACGGCCACAUUGGGACUGAGACACGGCCCAGACUCCUACGGGAGGCAGCAGUGGGGAAUAUUGCACAAUGGGGGAAACCCUGAUGCAGCGACGCCGCGUGGAGGAAGAAGGUCUUCGGAUUGUAAACUCCUGUUGUUGAGGAAGAUAAUGACGGUACUCAACAAGGAAGUGACGGCUAACUACGUG